UUUAAGUAUUAUAUAUAUUUAAGUAUUAUUUUUAAAAGUAUAUAUAUUAUUGCGCCUUAUAUUUUAUCCUUGAAGCUGUCUUUGACGAUAUGAUUUAAUAUUCGUUAUGCGAAGACAUCAUCGGAAGAUUAUCUCCGAAUUGAAGAAUCAUCAAGAACCAACAUCUUGCGAAGAACCCCCAAUUAUUUUCUUCUUUUCAAAAAUUUUUCUUUAAACAGAUGAAGCCUUUGGAAAAGCGGAAAGAUACUGUUUCUUAGAGAGAAACUGUUUUGCUCACGAUUUUUCCGUGAGACGAAGGGCAAAUGCCAAAGCAGGGACUUGGAGAGUCCUCGUGAGGACGAUGGGCCUUAUAUUUCAUCCCUGAAGCUAUCUUUGACGAUGUUAUUUAAUAUUCGUUAUACGAAGACGUCAUCGGAAGAUUAUCUCCGAGCUGAAAAAUCAUCAAGAACCAACAUCUUGCAAAGAACCCCCAAUUAUUUUCUUCUUUUCAAACAUUUUUCUUUAAACAGAGAAGCCUUUGGAAAAGCAGAAAAAUAUUGUUUCUUAGAGAGAAACUGCUUUGCCCACGGUUUUUGAUCCGUGGUUUUUCCGUGGGACGAAGGGCGAAUGCCAAAGCAGGGACUUGAGGAGUCUUUAAGGACGAUGGGUCUACGGUAGAUACCCCUCUCCCCCUUGUCUGAAGAGUCUAAGAUGUAACAUCAAUAAAAUUCUGAUUCAUAGAAGAUGUUACGUUUACAACAAACGUUAUAUUAUGUAACAAUACUAAAGAAAUGGAACAAAUUGGAAAAAAAAGUUAAUAACGAAGACAAGAUUAUAUUUUUAUGAUUAAUACACUAAGAAAAGUAAGAAUGGAAAAGAUAACAAAUAUGAAAACAGCUAAAAGGAAAAUAUGUGUGCACAUAUGUUAUAAUAAAAAUUGGAAAAUAUUAAUACUCAGAAGAUGUCAUUGUCAUUGAUGAAGGAUAAAAAAAAUAAAAUUAAUGACUGAAGAAGAUCAACAUAUAAUGAAGAUAAAAUUAAAUUCUUCAAAAUUAAUACCAUACAAAAUGCAACAAACGAAGAUAUUAAAAAACAGAUAUAAAAAUUUUUUUUCCUUUAUAGAAACUGCUGUCCUUGCCUUUAAAAUUAAGACAUAAACACAAUAAUAACACAAUGUAAAAUUUAUAUUGUAACAUUAAUGACGUACAGUUGUAGCUAUAGAUGGAGAGCAGUAGUCAGGUACAGGCCAUUGGAAGAUCAAACCAACAGUCAAUUGAAGAUUCUUCAAUAAUGCCCUACCUAUGGACAGCACAGGCUGAUGUAGGAAGCCAUUCUGGAUUUAAAAAAAAGUAUAUAAUCAA